UACGUAGGGUGCAAGCGUUGUCCGGAUUUAUUGGGCGUAAAGAGCUCGUAGGCGGUCUGUUACGUCGGCUGUGAAAACCCGGGGCUUAACUCCGGGCCUGCAGUCGAUACGGGCAGACUAGAGUUCGGCAGGGGAGACUGGAAUUCCUGGUGUAGCGGUGAAAUGCGCAGAUAUCAGGAGGAACACCGGUGGCGAAGGCGGGUCUCUGGGCCGAUACUGACGCUGAGGAGCGAAAGCGUGGGGAGCGAACAGG
rnacentral:rRNA from 1 species